rnacentral:rRNA from 1 species
GGAAGGCGUGGGUAGCAUACAGGAUUAGAUACCCUGGUAGUCCACGCCGUACACGAUGAUAACUAGCCGUUGGGGGGAUUUACCCUCUAGUGGCGAAGCUAACGCGUUAGGUUAUCCGCCUGGGGAGUACGGCCGCAAGGUUAAAACUCAAAGGAAUUGACGGGGACCCGCACAAGCGGUGGAGCAUGUGGUUUGAUUCGAUGCAACGCGAAGAACCUUACCUGGUCUUGACAUCCUGCGAACUUUCUAGAAAUAGAUUGGUGCCUUCGGGAACGCAGUGACAGGUGCUGCAUGGCUGUCGUCAGCUCGUGUCGUGAGAUGUUGGGUUAAGUCCCGUAACGAGCGCAACCCCUAUCCUUAUUUGCCAGCACAUCAUGGUGGGAACUAUAAGGAGACUGCCGGUGAUAAACCGGAGGAAGGCGGGGACGACGUCAAGUCAUCAUGGCCCUUACGACCAGGGCUACACACGUGCUACAAUGGGAAGGACAAAGAGCCGCGAAGCCGUGAGGUGUAGCUAAUCUCAUAAACCUUUUCGUAGUCCGGAUUGGAGUCUGCAACUCGACUCCAUGAAGUCGGAAUCGCUAGUAAUCGUAGAUCAGAAUGCUACGGUGAAUACGUUCCCGGGUCUUGUACACUACCGCCACGUAAUCAUCUAGUGCGGACCGCCGUGCAGGUACGCACACAUAUGCGUAGAGUUCACUCAACGUGCACGUAGGAUAACGAUUAGUA